rnacentral:rRNA from 1 species
UACGUAGGGUGCAAGCGUUAAUCGGAAUUACUGGGCGUAAAGCGUGCGCAGGCGGUUUUGUAAGUUUGUCGUGAAAGCCCCGGGCUCAACCUGGGAAUUGCGAUGAAGACUGCAAGGCUUGAAUCUGGCAGAGGGGGGUAGAAUUCCACGUGUAGCAGUGAAAUGCGUAGAGAUGUGGAGGAACACCGAUGGCGAAGGCAGCCCCCUGGGUCAAGAUUGACGCUCAUGCACGAAAGCGUGGGGAGCAGACAGG